UUGUACACACCGCCCGUCGCUACUACCGAUUGAAUGGCUUAGUGAGGCCCUCGGAUUGACCCCUGGUGGCUGUAAAAGGCUACAAAGGCUCGAGAAGUUGGUCAAACUUGGUCAUUUAGAGGAAGUAAAAGUCGUAACA
rnacentral:rRNA from 1 species